AUGUGUGUAUUUUCAGGCUCCAGCUCAUUGAUGAUCUGUCAUAUGAGGAUGUAAAGAAAUGCUACAGGGGUUCAACCGUCAGCAAAUACAACUCGCAGUACCACAAACUCUUCUCGGCCAUCCCGAAGGAGGAGAUCCUCAUGAAGGUUUAUUCCUGCGCUCUUCUGCGGGACAUUCUGCUGCAAGGGCGGCUUUACAUCUCUCGAAACUGGCUGUGCUUCUAUGCAAACCUUUUCGGGAAAGACAUCAAGGUUUGUAGCGCUUUCUUUAACGUGCAAAUUAAAGAUGUUCAAGAUCAA